GAUGUCGCUGUAGAUUUAGCAGUACAUUACUGUAAAAAUCCACAGUACUAUACUGUAUGUAUACAUUACAGUACAGUACUGCAGUUCAUAAUGCAUUCUGGGUAAAUUUGUUUGAGCGGGAAAAUUUUACAGUAUAUUUUGGUCUUGAUGUAACCUUGCUGUAGCCAUUGCUGUAAUGUGCCAGGUGUACUUGCAAUAAUCAGAGAAAGUGCGCCAACGUCAAAUCACACAGAGGGAGAGAGAGCACAACUCCUGGCUGCAGCUGAAGGAGGACGAUUGAUUUCUGGCAGUUCGGGAUUGAAGGGGUUUACCUCUGAAUGAAUUCCAGAGGGCAGGCUGUCUCAUCUUGAUACUGAAGGCUGAAAAUGUAGUAGGUUGCAAACAUAGCAGCAAGUCCAAUUUCAAAUGUUGGUGUGAUGCCCUCAGAGCCCUUAAAGGUGAUCAUCCAACCCUUAAUUGUGACUUGCCUUGUUGCACUUGAAACUUAACAACAUGGUAAUACUUGUUACCUUGUGUAAACAUUUGUAAACUCAAGAUGAAUGGAUAAAAUAUACAAUGUGUCUAUCAAUGAUUCUAAAUUAAAUGUAUAUUACCAGGUAUCAGGCGAGGACUUGCAGGAAGACUGAGAGUUGUCUCAACGUCAGCUGCAGUGGCAGAUACCUGAAGGGAACAAAUACAUUAUCCUUACCAUAAUAAGAUUUUUAAGAAGAAAAUUUAUAAAAAGGACAAUAAUUAGUAAACACUAGGUGGAAUGUAACCAAGACGUGAACGAGAUGCAAGACCCGAUGAAUUUGAUGAAGAACACUUGAGAAUGUGCAGCACGUCAUCUAAAUUGUACGUCCUCUUCUGGAAAAUCUCCAAUCCAAAUAAUGGUUCCCG